rnacentral:rRNA from 1 species
CCUACGGGAGGCAGCAGUGAGGAAUAUUGGUCAAUGGACGGAAGUCUGAACCAGCCAUGCCGCGUGCAGGAAGACGGCUCUCUGAGUUGUAAACUGCUUUUGUACAAGGGUAAACCUGAAUACGUGUAUUCAGCUGAGAGUCCUCUACGAAUAAGCAUCGGCUAACUCCGUGCCAGCAGCCGCGGUAAUACGGAGGAUCCAAGCGUUAUCCGGAUUUAUUGGGUUUAAAGGGUGCGUAGGCGGGUUGAUAAGUUAGAGGUGAACUGUCCGAGCUUAACUCGGGAACUGCCUCUAAUACUGUUGAUCUAGAGUGUAGAUGAGGUAGGCGGAAUGUAUGGUGUAGCGGUGAAAUGCUUAGAGAUCAGGAAGAACACCGAUUGCGAAGGCAGCUUACCAAUCUAUAACUGACGUUGAGGCACGAAAGCGUGGGGAGCAAACAGGAUUAGAUACCCCUGUAGUC